AAUAGUUAUGAUUUUGCAAACACCUAAUUCCAUCUUAAGCUAGGGUAGCUCUAUUUCCUUGCACGGUUUUUCUUCUUCACUGCAACGUAAUUGACAUUUUUGUUUAAGAAGCUAAAACAUGCACUGAGAUAGGCUGAGCAUACUGCAAAUAAAAAAGUAGAGAUAUCUUAAGCUCAUCAGUCCAUCAUAUAUUAAGAUACUAAAAGCUCUGCUCUUUCAGUGAUCGGGUGGCUACAGAGCGUGCACUGGACCUUCCCAUUUAUUUCGGAGAUUCUGGUAGUGAAGAGGUGCUUCAUAAUGUUGGUGCUGAAAGAGCAUGUGCUGCAGCAAUAACCUUGGAUUUUCCUGGUGCCAAUUAUAGAAAAGUUUGAACUCUGAGCAAGUAUUUCCCUAAUGUGAAGACUUUUGUCUGAUCACGGCCUUAGUUUAGAGAAGGCCGGCGCUACAGCUGUUGUGCCGGAGAGCUUGGCACCCAGUCUGCAGCUGGCAGCCGCUGUUCUUGCACAGGCUAAACUUCCUGCGUUGGAGAUUGCAGAAACAAUCAAUGAAUUUAGAUGCCGCCAUCUUGCGGAGCUAACAGAGGUAUUCCUGACUUGCUCUUGUUGAUACCGGAAAAUUUUAAAUCACCGAUAUUAAAUGUUGAACAAGAUAGACCAUGUUCUCUGUUGUAUUCAAAUUUCAAACCUGACAUGUUUACGUAAAAUUGCCAGGCUACUGGAAGUUCUACUGGCUAUGGAUUUUCUGAGUCAUGAGUAAACCCUAAAGUUCAAUGAUAAGAUACUUCGGAUGAUAACAAUGCCAUUGAAGGAACUUUUGCAAUAUGAAAGAUUCA